rnacentral:tRNA from 2 species
GCGCCAGUAGCUCAGUUGGAUAGAGCGGCAGCCUUCUAAGCUGUAGGUCGGGGGUUCGAUUCCCUCCUGGCGCACCA